rnacentral:lncRNA from 1 species
GGUAAAGAUAGUAAUUUCAUUAGAUGCAAGUAUAUAUUUAUAAAAAAUCGUAAAUUACUCAUGACAGUAUACCAGCAUGUAGGUCAAGAGUAAGUCUAACUAAAUAUAAUUAGGUAGAGUAACGAAAGGACAGAUGGCUUUUACAUGUUUCUGGCCAUAUAUACACAAGCCUUUGUAAUUCGAGUCUUGCAAAUUAUUUCCCAAAGCAGUUUGUAUGAACUUGUCCCGGCACGUACCAUGCAGUAGCCUCCCUUAAUUUGACAUGGCCUCCUUUCCUUCACAUGUAACGAGGCUGACAGAACGCACGCAGCUCCCCUUGGUCAGUUAUCCCAGGAACAAACACAGUCAUGGAGACCUAAGAGGGUAUCAAGUAAGUCUAUCCAGGCCUACCUUCUUGAAGUAGAAAGCAAUUUAAGGGACACGAGCAAGAAAAGUGAGGAUCCUUCUUUGCACAGACUCGAUCCUGCGGCAUGCGGAGCCUGAGCUGGCUUAGCACAGUCCAGUUCAGGGAGAAAAUGUAUCUCUAACAUGGGGACUUUGACAACACUGAUUCAGAGAGUUUUUGCAAGAAUAAAGAAAUAGAAGAACAAAUUUAUAAUUGGUACUGUGCAACAUUAAUGCUAACACACUACACAUUUACAUGGUCAAAGAGAUCAGAAGCACCACAGCAAAACCAAUAAUGCACUUUGGAGUCUCCCUCUAUGAUCACCACAGAGAACUCAAAGCUCUUGCCAGAUCCUGCAGACAUGGAGAUUUAUUUACUCUGGCAACUUUAAUAUUAAAUAACUAUGAGAUCAAAAGAUAUUAUAACUGCAUAUUCAUCUUAUCUAUGAGGGAAGAAAAAGCAAGGCUGGAAUACUCAACAAGCACAGUGGUCUUAUUUGAUUCACUAUAAUGUCUACACAUCAUCCUAGCUUCAGAUCAGUUUACAGAGUAAGUGCUCAACAAAUAUUUGUUGAAUGAAUAAAUGAGUUUUUCCAAGUAUUAAAAAGAUAA